GAACGCUCGGAGCGAUCCGGGAGUGGCGGACGGGUGAGUAACGCGUGGGAACCUGCCCUGGAGUGUGGGAUAACCGAGGGAAACUUCGGCUAAUACCGCAUACGACCUGAGGGUGAAAGAUUUAUCGCUCUAGGAGGGGCCCGCGUCGGAUUAGCUAGUUGGUGGGGUAACGGCUUACCAAGGCGAUGAUCCGUAGCUGGUCUGAGAGGAUGAUCAGCCACACUGGGACUGAGACACGGCCCAGACUCCUACGGGAGGCAGCAGUGGGGAAUAUUGGACAAUGGGGGCAACCCUGAUCCAGCAAUGCCGCGUGAGUGAUGAAGGCCUUAGGGUUGUAAAGCUCUUUCGCCCACGACGAUGAUGACGGUAGUGGGAGAAGAAGCCCCGGCUAACUUCGUG
rnacentral:rRNA from 1 species